rnacentral:sRNA from 1 species
CUAUCAGAUGACAGUUUUCUCUUUGGCAUUUUUAUGAAUUAAAGCUUUCAAGGCCAAACUUCAGAUUUGUUUAGCAUAUUCCUGUACUACAUAUCAACAAAUGUUUGAUGGUCUGUCUGGUUCAUCUCUUAACACUAUGAAGAUAACAACACUAAGCUUAACAAGCAAACAUUCUGUUGCCAACAGAACCCAUUUGUCAUCCUAUCCAAGCAACUAAAUAAUUCUUGGUAACCUGCUAUCAGAUGAUUACAGUUUUCUCUUUGGCAUUUGUAUGAAUUAAAGCUUUCAAAGCCAAACCUUAGAUUUGGUUACCCAUAGCCCUGAACUACAUAUCAACAAAUGUCUGAUGGUCUGUCUGAGCACUAUGAAGAUGGGCUACACAGUGAUGACAAAGUUUUAUUUUCAUUCACCACACAAAUUUUUACAAAAGAAGUAAAUA